rnacentral:rRNA from 1 species
UACGGAGGAUGCGAGCGUUAUCCGGAUUUAUUGGGUUUAAAGGGUGCGUAGGCGGGCUUUUAAGUCAGCGGUAAAAAUUCGGGGCUCAACCCCGUCCGGCCGUUGAAACUGGGGGUCUUGAGUGGGCGAGAAGAAGGCGGAAUGCGUGGUGUAGCGGUGAAAUGCAUAGAUAUCACGCAGAACCCCGAUUGCGAAGGCAACCUUCCGGCGCCCUACUGACGCUGAGGCACGAAAGUGCGGGGAUCGAACAGG